rnacentral:rRNA from 1 species
UACGUAGGGUGCAAGCGUUUGUCCGGAAUUAUUGGGCGUAAAGAGCUCGUAGGCGGUUUGUCGCGUCUGCUGUGAAAACCCGAGGCUCAACCUCGGGCCUGCAGUGGGUACGGGCAGACUAGAGUGCGGUAGGGGAGAUUGGAAUUCCUGGUGUAGCGGUGGAAUGCGCAGAUAUCAGGAGGAACACCAAUGGCGAAGGCGGAUCUCUGGGCCGUAACUGACGCUGAGGAGCGAAAGCAUGGGGAGCGAACAGG